GAUGAACGCUGGCGGCGUGCCUAAUACAUGCAAGUAGAACGCUGAAGGAAGGAGCUUGCUCUUUUCGGAUUAGUUGCGAACGGGUGAGUAACGCGUAGGUAACCUGCCUGUUAGCGGGGGAUAACUAUGGGAAACGAUAGCUAAUGCCGCAUAACAGUAUAUGUUGCAUGAUAUCUACUUAAAAGGUGCAAUUGCACCACUACCAGAUGGACUUGCGUUGUAUUAGCUAGUUGGUGAGGUAACGGCUACCCAAGGCGACGAAGCAUAGCCGACCUGAGAGGUGAUUCGCCAACCCUGGAAUGGGACACGGGCCAGGACCCCUAGGGAAGGCACAGUAGGGGAUCCUCCGCAAAGGACGGAAGGCCGAACGGACAAAGCCGCGUGGGUGGAGAAGGUUUUCCGAACGUAAAGCUCUGUUGAAAGGGAAGAAAGAGUGGGGGAGGUAAAAGUGCACACUGUGACGGUAUCUUACCAGAAAGGGAUGGCUAACUACGUG
rnacentral:rRNA from 1 species